rnacentral:rRNA from 1 species
AUUGAACGCUGGCGGCAGGCCUAACACAUGCAAGUCGAGCGGAUGAAGGGAGCUUGCUCCUGGAUUCAGCGGCGGACGGGUGAGUAAUGCCUAGGAAUCUGCCUGGUCGUGGGGGAUAACGUCCGGUAACGGGCGCUAAUACCGCAUACGUCCUGAGAGAGAAAGGGGGGGUUCUUCGGACCUCACGCUAUCAGAUGAGCCUAGGUCGGAUUAGCUAGUUGGUGGGGUAAAGGCCUACCAAGGCGACGAUCCGUAACUGGUCUGAGAGGAUGAUCAGUCACACUGGAACUGAGACACGGUCCAGACUCCUACGGGAGGCAGCAGUGGGGAAUAUUGGACAAUGGGCGAAAGCCUGAUCCAGCCAUGCCGCGUGUGUGAAGAAGGUCUUCGGAUUGUAAAGCACUUUAAGUUGGGAGGAAGGGCAGUAAGUUAAUACCUGGCUGUUUUGACGUUACCAACAGAAUAAGCACCGGCUAACUUCGUG